rfam:Homo sapiens chromosome 7, GRCh38 reference primary assembly.
GCCAGGCGAGGCGGCUCACGCCUGUAAUCCCAGCACUUUGGGAGGCUGAGGUGGGUGGAUCACCUGAGGUCAGGAGUUCUAGACCAGCCUGGCCAACAGGGUGAAUCCCCAUCUCUA